rnacentral:rRNA from 1 species
CCUACGGGAGGCAGCAGUGAGGAAUAUUGGUCAAUGGACGAGAGUCUGAACCAGCCAAGUAGCGUGAAGGAUGACUGCCCUAUGGGUUGUAAACUUCUUUUAUAUGGGAAUAAAAUGUUCCACGUGUGGGAUUUUGUAUGUACCAUAUGAAUAAGCAUCGGCUAACUCCGUGCCAGCAGCCGCGGUAAUACGGAGGAUCCGAGCGUUAUCCGGAUUUAUUGGGUUUAAAGGGAGCGUAGGUGGAUUGUUAAGUCAGUUGUGAAAGUUUGCGGCUCAACCGUAAAAUUGCAGUUGAAACUGGCAGUCUUGAGUACAGUAGAGGUGGGCGGAAUUCGUGGUGUAGCGGUGAAAUGCUUAGAUAUCACGAAGAACUCCGAUUGCGAAGGCAGUUCACUAAGCUGCAACUGACACUGAAGCUCGAAAGUGUGGGUAUCAAACAGGAUUAGAUACCCGAGUAGUC